rnacentral:rRNA from 1 species
UACGGAGGAUGCAAGCGUUAUCCGGAUUUAUUGGGUUUAAAGGGUGCGCAGGCGGAUUGGUAAGUCAGUGGUGAAAGCCCCCGGCUCAACUGGGGAAUUGCCAUUGAUACUGUCAAUCUAGAGUACAGUUGAAGUGGGCGGAAUGUAGCAUGUAGCGGUGAAAUGCUUAGAUAUGCUACAGAACACCGAUUGCGAAGGCAGCUCACUAAGCUGAAACUGACGCUCAGGCACGAAAGCGUGGGGAGCAAACAGG